rnacentral:rRNA from 1 species
CCUACGGGAGUCUGCAGUGGGGGAUAUUGCACAAUGGGGGGAACCCUGAUGCAGCGACGCCGCGUGGGUGAAGAAGCGCCUCGGCGCGUAAAGCCCUGUCAGCAGGGAAGAAAAUGACGGUACCUGAAGAAGAAGCCCCGGCUAACUCCGUGCCAGCCGCCGCGGUAAUACGUAGGGGGCAAGCGUUAUCCGGAUUUACUGGGUGGAAAGGGGGCGCAGACGGCGAUGCAAGCCAGGAGUGAAAGCCCGGGGCCCAACCCCGGGACUGCUCUUGGAACUGCGUGGCUGGAGUGCAGGAGGGGCAGGCGGAAUUCCUGGUGUAGCGGUGAAAUGCGUAGAUAUCAGGAGGAACACCGGUGGCGAAGGCGGCCUGCUGGACUGCAACUGACAUUGAUGCUCGAAAGUGUGGGUAUCAAACAGGAUUAGAUACCCGAGUAGUC